rnacentral:rRNA from 1 species
UACGGGGGGGGCAAGCGUUGUUCGGAAUUACUGGGCGUAAAGGGCUCGUAGGUGGCCAACUAAGUCGGACGUGAAAUCCCCAGGCUCAACUUGGGAACUGCGUCCGAUACUGGAUGGCUUGAAUUCGGGAGAGGGAUGCAGAAUUCCAGGUGUAGCGGUGAAAUGCGUAGAUAUCUGGAGGAACACCGGUGGCGAAGGCGGCAUCCUGGACCAACACUGACGCUGAGUGAGCGAAAGCCAGGGGAGCAAACGGG